GUUGGCGUAGCUUAACUAAAGCAUAACACUGAAGCUGUUAAGAUGAACCCUAAACAGGUUUCGCGAACA
rnacentral:tRNA from 1 species